CACGUAGGGUGCGAGCGUUGUCCGGGAUUAUUGGGCGUAAAGAGCUCGUCGGCGGUGUGUCGCGUCGGCCGUGAAAACCUGCAGCUUAACUGUGGGCGUGCGGGCGAUACGGGCAGGCUAGAGUUCGGUAGGGGAGACUGGAAUUCCUGGUGUAGCGGUGAAAUGCGCAGAUAUCAGGAGGAACACCAAUGGCGAAGGCAGCACUCUGGGACGUGACUGACGCUGAGACGCGAAAGCGUGGGGAGCAAACAGG
rnacentral:rRNA from 1 species